AGAGUUUGAUCCUGGCUCAGAAUGAACGCUGGCGGCAUGGAUUAGGCAUGCAAGUCGAACGGUGAACUGGGAGCUUGCUCCCGGGGAUCAGUGGCGAAAGGGUGAGUAACACGUGAGUAACCUGCCCCCGAGUCGGGAAUAGCCCCGGGAAACCGGGAUUAAUACCUGAUAUGGUUGUCCUGCGCAUGCGGGAUGGACUAAAGAUUUAUCGCUCGGGGAUGGGCUCGCGUCCCAUUAGCUUGUUGGUGAGGUAACGGCCCACCAAGGCUGUGACGGGUAGGUGGUCUGAGAGGAUGGUCACCCACACUGGGACUGAGACACUGCCCAGACUCCUACGGGAGGCUGCAGUCGAGAAUCAUCCGCAAUGGGCGAAAGCCUGACGGUGCGAUGCCGCGUGAGGGAUGAAGGCCUUCGGGUUGCAAACCCCUGUCAGGAGGGACGAAGAAGUGACGGUACCUCCAGAGGAAGCCACGGCUAACUACGUGCCAGCAGCCGCGGUAAUACGUAGGUGGCGAGCGUUAUUCGGAUUCACUGGGCGUAAAGGGUUCGCAGGGGGUUUGCCAAGUCCGAUGUGAAAUCUCACGGCUCAACUGUGAAACUGCAUUGGAUACUGGUGAGCUAGAGUGCACGAGGGGUGAGCGGAAUUCCAGGUGUAGCGGUGGAAUGCGUAGAUAUCUGGAAGAACACCGAUGGCGAAGGCGGCUCACUGGCGUGCUACUGACCCUCAGGGACGAAAGCGUGGGGAGCAAACAGGAUUAGAUACCCUGGUAGUCCACGCUGUAAACGUUGUGCACUAGAUGUGGGCGGAUUCAAUCCCGUCCGUGUCCAAGCUAACGCGUUAAGUGCACCGCCUGGGGACUACGGCCGCAAGGCUAAAACUCAAAGGAAUUGACGGGGGCCCGCACAAGCGGUGGAGCAUGUGGCUCAAUUCGAGGCAACGCGAAGAACCUUACCUGGGUUUGACAUGUACUGGAUCGCCUGUGAAAGCAGGUUUUCCUUCGGGACCGGUACACAGGUGCUGCAUGGCUGUCGUCAGCUCGUGUCGUGAGAUGUUCGGUUAAGUCCGGCAACGAGCGCAACCCGUAUCGUCAGUUGCUAACAGGUAAUGCUGAGGACUCUGGCGAGACUGCCCGUGUCAAGCGGGAGGAAGGCGCGGAUGACGUCAAGUCCGUAUGGCCCUUACGUCCAGGGCUGCACACGUGCUACAAUGGGCGGCACAAAGAGACGCAAGACCGCGAGGUGGAGCAAAUCUCGAAAACCGUCCCCAGUUCGGAUUGGAGUCUGCAAUUCGACUCCAUGAAGCCGGAAUCGCUAGUAAAGGGGUAUCAGCAACGGCCCCUUGAAUACGUUCCCGGGCCUUGUACACACCGCCCGUCACAUCAUGGAAGCUGGCUGCACCCGAAGUCGUUGACCCAACUCUUCGGAGAGGGAGACGCCGAAGGUGUGUCCAGUGACUGGGAUGAAGUCGAAACAAGGUA
rnacentral:rRNA from 1 species